rnacentral:rRNA from 1 species
CUCAGUAACACGUGGAUAACCUACCCUAAGGUGGGGGAUGAUCUCGGAAAACUGAGAAUAAUACCCCAUAGACCUAGAUGACUGGAAUGUCUUUAGGUUCAAAACUACGGUGCCCUAGGAUGGGUCUGCGGCCUAUCAGGUUGUAGUUAGUGUAAAGGACUAACUAGCCGACGACGGGUACGGGCCAUGGGAGUGGUAGCCCGGAGAUGGACUCUGAGACACGAGUCCAGGCCCUACGGGGCGCAGCAGGCGCGAAAACUUUGCAAUGCGCGAAAGCGCGACAAGGGGAUUCCAAGUGCAUGCACUAAGUGUAUGCUUUUCGUGAGUGUAAAAAGCUCAUGGAAUAAGGGCUGGGUAAGACUGGUGCCAGCCGCCGCGGUAAUACCAGCGGCCCUAGUGGUGAUCGUUAUUAUUGGGCCUAAAGCGUCCGUAGCCGGUUCGGUAAAUCUCUGGGUAAAUCGUUGGGCUUAACUCAACGAAUUCUGGGGAGACUGCCGAACUUGGGACCGGGAGAGGUCGGAGGUACUCCAGGGGUAGGGGUGAAAUCCUGUAAUCCUUGGGGGACCACCGGUGGCGAAGGCGUCCGACCAGAACGGGUCCGACGGUAAGGGACGAAGCCCUGGGGCGCGAACCGGAUUAGAUACCCGGGUAGUCCAGGGUGUAAACGCUGUGCGCUUGGUGUUGGGGGUCCCACGAGGGCACCCAGUGCCGGAGAGAAGUUGUUUAGCGCCCCCUGGGGAGUACGGUCGCAAGACUGAAACUAAAG